UCCAAUGUGUUCUUCAUAAGGUUAAAAUAUUGUUGUUAUGAUACGUUUAACAGGUCAUAGGCAGACGGGAAAAGCAGGCCUUAAAAGAGGGCUACAGGAUACUGGGGUGCUCCCAAAGAUAACAGAACGGCCAGAACUGGCUAGAGUUCUGUUCCCACGAGGUGCCUCAUCUCUGAUGGAUCCUAAGAUGAUUUUGAAGAGUGGUUUGACCAGAUGAGGCAGAGGUUGACGAAGAUGAAAUGGAAGACUCAUGCCGUGUCACAGCCUACCUCAGACAAUACGUUGUUCUUUAGAGACAUUGAAAGACCUGGUGGUCUUCUGGACAGGAUGGUCUGUCCUCCAAGAAAC